GCCUGCCCAGUGACUAUAUGUUAAACGGCCGCGGUAUUCUGACCGUGCCAAGGUAGCGCAAUCACUUGCCCUUUAAAUGGGGGCCCGUAUGAAUGGCACCACGAGGGCUAAUCUGUCUCCUUUUUCAGGUCAAUGAAAUUGAUCUCCCCGUGCAGAAGCGGGGAUUUUAUCAUAAGACGAGAAGACCCUGUGGAGCUUUAGAUUCCAAGGCCGAUCCUGUCACUAUCCCAGAACAAAGGGGCCGAAUUAAGGAGCACCGCCCGAUAUCUUUGGUUGGGGCGACCGCGGGGAUUAACAAAACCCCCACGUGGACCGGGAGCAUAAUGCGCCCAAAACCGAGAGUUACCACUCAAACUAGCAGAACAUCUGACCAGUAUAUGAUCCGACAAAGUCGAUCAACGAACAGAGUUACCCCAGGGAUAACAGCGCAAUCCCCUUUUAGAGUUCAUAUCGACAAGGGGGUUUACGACCUCGAUGUUGGAUCAGGACAUCCUAAUGGCGCAGCCACUAUUAAGGGUUCGUUUGUUCAACGAUUAAAGUCCUACGUGAU
rnacentral:rRNA from 1 species